rnacentral:tRNA from 1 species
GGGCGGUUAGCUCAGUUGGCUAGAGCGCGUCGUUGACAUCGACGAGGUCGGAGGUUCGAAUCCUCCAUCGCCCACCA